rnacentral:rRNA from 2 species
GAAGGUCACGGCGAGACGAGCCGUUUCUCAUUAACGAACGAUAGGUGUCAAGUGGAAGUGCAGUGAUGUAUGCAGCUGAGGCAUCCUAACAGACCGGUAGACUUGAAC